rnacentral:rRNA from 1 species
UGGGGAAUAUUGCACAAUGGGCGGAAGCCUGAUGCAGCAACGCCGCGUGCGGGAUGACGGCCUUCGGGUUGUAAACCGCUUUCGCCUGUGACGAAGCGUGAGUGACGGUAAUGGGUAAAGAAGCACCGGCUAACUACGUGCCAGCAGCCGCGGUGAUACGUAGGGUGCGAGCGUUGUCCGGAUCUAUUGGGCGUAAAGGGCUCGUAGGUGGUUGAUCGCGUCGGAAGUGUAAUCUUGGGGCUUAACCCUGAGCGUGCUUUCGAUACGGGUUGACUUGAGGAAGGUAGGGGAGAAUGGAAUUCCUGGUGGAGCGGUGGAAUGCGCAGAUAUCAGGAGGAACACCAGUGGCGAAGGCGGUUCUCUGGGCCUUUCCUGACGCUGAGGAGCGAAAGCGUGGGGAGCGAACA